GACCGACUACGAAUAAACCAGGUUUAGCCCAGAAAUAACCAUGAAUUUAAUUACAUGUUGUUUUUCCAAAAUGAUUUGUGAGAUGUAUGAUAUUUAAUCAUGUAAACAAAGUUCAAAGCGAUUAAGGUAUUUUGUUUCAUUUCUUUAAGGUGUUAUAUGCACCGUCUGUACUUAGCCACUAUUUAGCUUACAAAUAGACCGACUACGAAUAACACACGUUUAGCCCAGAAAUAACCAUUAAUUUAAUUACACGUGGUUUUUGCCAAAUAACUUGUGAGAUGUAUGGUAUUUCAUUGUGUAAGCAAAGUUAACAGCGAUUACAAUGUUUGUUUAAUUUCUUUAAAGUGUUUUAUGCACCGUCGCACAUAGCCACUAUUUAGCUCAUAAAUAGACCGACUACGAACAAACCAUGUUUAGCCCAGAAUAACCUUGAAUUUAAUAAAAUGUUGUUUUUGCCAAAAUAACUUGCAAGAUGUAUGAUAUUUCAUCAGGCAUGCAAAGACACCAGUGAAUUCAAGAUGUUUGGUUUUAUUUAUCUUAUCUGAAUAUCUGCUGUCACGCAUAACAUUCAUUAUUGAUAUACAAAAUCCAGUUACAACUCCGAACCGCUAGAUGGCAGCUGCAGUACACAAACACGAGGCCAAAUCUGGCGAGAAAGAUUUCCGGUGUUUGAAAAUCAACAACACCGACCAGCGAGCAGCCAAGGGGAAAGCAAUCUUCCACACUCGUUUGGUCUUGCGUCAAAGCUGUGUGAAACUGGAUGGAAAAACUUGAGAGACCGUGCCAGAAGAAUGCUGGACAGAGUUCCAUAAAAUUCAUUAAUUUCAAAGUUCAACAUGAAUGGUGGUAGUCCACUGCAGAAGCAAGCAUUUGAAAAAACAUCAGUUCUCAGUUAUUAAAGAUGCUGUGUUGAACAACUUCCCAGCAGCAACAGAACUGGAAGUGAAGGAUGCAAUGGGGGCAUUUCAAACAGGCACCGGGGGGGGGGGGGGGUAUAGAAAUUAGUACAAUUAAUAAGUUGAAGUGAACUGAAGAUAAGUUUGUUAAUGUUUAGAUGUUAUUUCAUUUUUAAAAUUUUAUUUUGUUAUUUAUGCUUUUAUUUUGUUACUGUUUUUAUUCUUUUUGUUAAAAGUAGUUUUUCAUUUUGUCUUAUCUGAAUUUCUAUUGUAUUAACAAUAUUUCUUGUAAUAAAUUGCAUGAUUACAUGUUUAUGAGAACCUUUUUUAAUGGAUUAAAAAUAAUUCUUUAGCCA